GAUGAACGCUGGCGGCGUGCCUAAUACAUGCAAGUCGAGCGAACAGACGAGAGUGCUUGCACUCUCUGACGUUAGCGGCGGACGGGUGAGUAACACGUGGGUAACCUACCUAUAAGACUGGGAUAACUUCGGGAAACCGGAGCUAAUACCGGAUAAUAUUUAGCUUCGCAUGAAGCAAUAGUAAAAGACGGUUCUGCUGUCACUUAUAGAUGGACCCGCGGUGUAUUAGCUAGUUGGUGAGGUAACGGCUCACCAAGGCAACGAUGCAUAGCCGACCUGAGAGGGUGAUCGGCCACACUGGGACUGAGACACGGCCCAGACUCCUACGGGAGGCAGCAGUAGGGAAUCUUCCGCAAUGGGCGAAAGUCUGACGGAGCAACGCCGCGUGAGUGAAGAAGGUUUUCGGAUCGUAAAACUCUGUUGUAAGGGAAGAACAAGUACGUUAGUAACUGAACGUACCUUGACGGUACCUUACCAGAAAGCCACGGCUAACUACGUG
rnacentral:rRNA from 1 species